rnacentral:misc_RNA from 1 species
AAGCAAGCCAUCUUGUCUCUUACAAUCAGCAAGGGCACUCAAACCGAAGUCUGAAAUUUUCAAAUUUCCAUCUUCAUCAAGGAGGAGAUUUUCGGGCUUCAAAUCGCGAUGGUAAACACCUCUGCUGUGGCAAAAGUCGACAGCACUGAUCAGCUGUUGAAAGUAUUUACGUGCAACAUCCUCUUUGAGUUUGCCUUUUGCAACCUUGUUGAAGAGUUCGCCGCCUCUGAUGUAUUCAAGGACAAAGUAAAUCUUACUCUUGCUGGCCAUCACCUCAUAAAGCUGCGCAACAUUCGGAUGCCUCACCAGUCUCAUAACUGAAAUCUCUCGCUUAAUCUGAUCAACGAGUCCCACCUUGAAGACCUUCUCUUUAUCAAUCACCUUUAUGGCGACGCUCUCUGAAGUUUUAAUGUUUCUGGCAUGGUAAACUUUGGCAAAAGUUCCUUGCCCUAGCAAUCGCCCUAGUUCAUAUUUUUGCAUAAGUAUACUUCCAUCAUGUUCCAUUGUCAUCUUAACAACCGUAAACAAAAUAUAUGCUUCCCACUUAUGGAAUAUAUACUCUAUAUUGUGGGAUCUUCAGCUUGGAAGACUUCAAUUCUUCUCACCAAUGUCCGGACCUAACACCGCUCCAGUGUGCAUUUCUUCACAGAGAAUAGGCUGGACAAGGGCCUGCUCUCCAAUCUCAUCAAGUAUGAACAAGGGUAGCUCGUGAGGAGCUAUAAUCUCAUUCAAUUUAAAUGAGGACUUCUUAAUUUUCACACACAUCUUUCAGCAUUCCCCGGUAUUUGGAUCCAAAUUUCAGACAAUAUUUUGUGGUUCGAUGAGAUCCGAUUCUCGAUUCAAAUUCGAUGAGCAUCCAAGAAAUUGAGGUGUAGUGAGAGGGGAAGCAAUU